ACGCUCGACACCUACGGGAGGAGCAGUAGGGAAUCUUCCACAAUGGGCGCAAGCCUGAUGGAGCAACACCGCGUGAGUGAAGAAGGGUUUCGGCUCGUAAAGCUCUGUUGUUGGAGAAGAACGUGCGUGAGAGUAACUGUUCACGCAGUGACGGUAUCCAACCAGAAAGUCACGGCUAACUACGUGCCAGUAGCCGCCGGUAAGUACUGAGCGGGCGUGGCGAAGGACG
rnacentral:rRNA from 1 species